GCUCAGAUUGAACGCUGGCGGCAGGCCUAACACAUGCUAGUCGAACGGUAACAGGAAGAAGCUUGCUUCUUUGCUGACGAGUGGCGGACGGGUGAGUAAUGUCUGGGAAACUGCCUGAUGGAGGGGGAUAACUACUGGAAACGGUAGCUAAUACCGCAUAACGUCGCAAGACCAAAGAGGGGGACCUUCGGGCCUCUUGCCAUCGGAUGUGCCCAGAUGGGAUUAGCUUGUUGGUGGGGUAACGGCUCACCAAGGCGACGAUCCCUAGCUGGUCUGAGAGGAUGACCAGCCACACUGGAACUGAGACACGGUCCAGACUCCUACGGGAGGCAGCAGUGGGGAAUAUUGCACAAUGGGCGCAAGCCUGAUGCAGCCAUGCCGCGUGUAUGAAGAAGGCCUUCGGGUUGUAAAGUACUUUCAGCGGGGAGGAAGGGAGUAAAGUUAAUACCUUUGCUCAUUGACGUUACCCGCAGAAGAAGCACCGGCUAACUCCGUGCCAGCAGCCGCGGUAAUACGGAGGGUGCAAGCGUUAAUCGGAAUUACUGGGCGUAAAGCGCACGCAGGCGGUUUGUUAAGUCAGAUGUGAAAUCCCCGGGCUCAACCUGGGAACUGCAUCUGAUACUGGCAAGCUUGAGUCUCGUAGAGGGGGGUAGAAUUCCAGGUGUAGCGGUGAAAUGCGUAGAGAUCUGGAGGAAUACCGGUGGCGAAGGCGGCCCCCAGGACGAAGACUGACGCUCAGGUGCGAAAGCGUGGGGAGCAAACAGGAUUAGAUACCCUGGUAGUCCACGCCGUAAACGAUGUCGACUUGGAGGUUGUGCCCUUGAGGCGUGGCUUCCGGAGCUAACGCGUUAAGUCGACCGCCUGGGGAGUACGGCCGCAAGGUUAAAACUCAAAUGAAUUGACGGGGGCCCGCACAAGCGGUGGAGCAUGUGGUUUAAUUCGAUGCAACGCGAAGAACCUUACCUGGUCUUGACAUCCACGGAAGUUUUCAGAGAUGAGAAUGUGCCUUCGGGAACCGUGAGACAGGUGCUGCAUGGCUGUCGUCAGCUCGUGUUGUGAAAUGUUGGGUUAAGUCCCGCAACGAGCGCAACCCUUAUCCUUUGUUGCCAGCGGUCCGGCCGGGAACUCAAAGGAGACUGCCAGUGAUAAACUGGAGGAAGGUGGGGAUGACGUCAAGUCAUCAUGGCCCUUACGACCAGGGCUACACACGUGCUACAAUGGCGCAUACAAAGAGAAGCGACCUCGCGAGAGCAAGCGGACCUCAUAAAGUGCGUCGUAGUCCGGAUUGGAGUCUGCAACUCGACUCCAUGGAGUCGGAAUCGCUAGUAAUCGUGGAUCAGAAUGCCACGGUGAAUACGUUCCCGGGCCUUGUACACACCGCCCGUCACACCAUGGGAGUGGGUUGCAAAAGAAGUAGGUAGCUUAACCUUCGGGAGGGCGCUUACCACUUUGUGAUUC
rnacentral:rRNA from 1 species